rnacentral:sRNA from 1 species
UGAAGCCGAAUCCAGCCCAGGAGCGGGGGAACCAAAAGAUUUUGGGGUGAACGUUUUCGCCGGGGAGCGAUAGCUCAACGGCAAGAGCGCGGGUGGUCUUCUCUACCCGAACCCGGCAGCUAACCUCGUAGGCGAAUAGAGAGAGGA